AGUGAACGCUGGCGGCGUGCUUAACACAUGCAAGUCGAACGAGAACGGAUUAUAGCUUGCUAUAAUUGUCAGCUAAGUGGCGCACGGGUGAGUAAUGUAUAGGUAAUAUGCCUCUUACUAAGGGAUAACAAAUGGAAACGUUUGCUAAUACCUUAUACUCCUUAUUAACAGAAGUUCAUAAGGGACAGAUUUAUUGGUAAGAGAUUAGCCUGUAUUGUAUCAGUUAGUUGGUGGGGUAAUGGCUUACCAAGACUAUGACACAUAACUGGUUUGAGAGGAUGAUCAGUCACACUGGAACUGAGACACGGUCCAGACGCCUACGGGAGGCAGCAGUGGGGAAUAUUGCACAGUGGACGAAAGUCUGAUGCAGCAACGCCGCGUGGAGGAUGACACAUUUCGGUGCGUAAACUCCUUUUAUAUGAGAAGAUAAUGACGGUAUUAUAUGAAUAAGCACCGGCUAACUCCGUGCCAGCCGCCGCCGUAAUAC
rnacentral:rRNA from 1 species